rnacentral:rRNA from 1 species
AGUCAUACCACCCUGAAGGCGCCCAAUCUCAUCUGAUCUCGGAAGCUAAGCAGGGUUGGGCUUGGUUAGUACUUGGAUGGGAGAAAAGAAUCUAGAAAUAAAAUUU